CCCAGCUGAGCGGCCGCCGAGCGGGUGCGGGUGCGGGCGCAUCGGCCAUCACCGCGCGGCCGCGCAGCGGACACCGUGCGUACCGGCCUGCGGCGCCCGGCCACCGGGGCGGACCGCGGAACCCGAGGCCAUGUCCCAUGAAAAGAGUUUUUUGGUGUCUGGGGACAACUAUCCUCCCCCCAACCCUGGAUAUCCGGGGGGGCCCCAGCCACCCAUGCCCCCCUAUGCUCAGCCUCCCUACCCUGGGGCCCCUUACCCACAGCCCCCUUUCCAGCCCUCCCCCUACGGUCAGCCAGGGUACCCCCAUGGCCCCAGCCCCUACCCCCAAGGGGGCUACCCACAGGGUCCCUACCCCCAAGGGGGCUACCCACAGGGCCCCUACCCACAAGAGGGCUACCCACAGGGCCCCUACCCCCAAGGGGGCUACCCCCAGGGGCCAUAUCCCCAGAGCCCCUUCCCCCCCAACCCCUAUGGACAGCCACAGGUCUUCCCAGGACAAGACCCUGACUCACCCCAGCAUGGAAACUACCAGGAGGAGGGUCCCCCAUCCUACUAUGACAACCAGGACUUCCCUGCCACCAACUGGGAUGACAAGAGCAUCCGACAGGCCUUCAUCCGCAAGGUGUUCCUAGUGCUGACCUUGCAGCUGUCGGUGACCCUGUCCACGGUGUCUGUGUUCACUUUUGUUGCGGAGGUGAAGGGCUUUGUCCGGGAGAAUGUCUGGACCUACU
rnacentral:lncRNA from 1 species